UACGUAGGGUGCAAGCGUUGUCCGGAAUUAUUGGGCGUAAAGAGCUCGUAGGCGGCUCGUCGCGUCUGCUGUGAAAGCCCGGGGCUUAACCCCCGGGUCUGCAGUGGGUACGGGCGGGCUAGAGUGCGGUAGGGGAGACUGGAAUUCCUGGUGUAGCGGUGAAAUGCGCAGAUAUCAGGAGGAACACCGGUGGCGAAGGCGGGUCUCUGGGCCGUAACUGACGCUGAGGAGCGAAAGCGUGGGGAGCGAACAGG
rnacentral:rRNA from 1 species